GAUGAACGCUGGCGGCGUGCCUAAUACAUGCAAGUCGAGCGAACAGACGAGGAGCUUGCUCCUCUGACGUUAGCGGCGGACGGGUGAGUAACACGUGGAUAACCUACCUAUAAGACUGGGAUAACUUCGGGAAACCGGAGCUAAUACCGGAUAAUAUAUUGAACCGCAUGGUUCAAUAGUGAAAGACGGUUUUGCUGUCACUUAUAGAUGGAUCCGCGCCGCAUUAGCUAGUUGGUAAGGUAACGGCUUACCAAGGCGACGAUGCGUAGCCGACCUGAGAGGGUGAUCGUCCACACUGGAACUGAGACACGGUCCAGACUCCUACGGGAGGCAGCAGUAGGGAAUCUUCCGCAAUGGGCGAAAGCCUGACGGAGCAACGCCGCGUGAGUGAUGAAGGUCUUCGGAUCGUAAAACUCUGUUAUUAGGGAAGAACAAAUGUGUAAGUAACUAUGCACGUCUUGACGGUACCUAAUCAGAAAGCCACGGCUAACUACGUG
rnacentral:rRNA from 1 species